CCUACGGGAGGCAGCAGUGAGGAAUAUUGGUCAAUGGACGCAAGUCUGAACCAGCCAUGCCGCGUGCAGGAAGAAGGUGCUAUGCAUUGUAAACUGCUUUUAUACGGGGGUAAUUACAGAUACGUGUAUCUGGAUGAAAGUACCGUAUGAAUAAGGAUCGGCUAACUCCGUGCCAGCAGCCGCGGUAAUACGGAGGGUGCGAGCGUUAAUCGGAAUUACUGGGCGUAAAGCGGUCGUAGGCGGUAUGUCAAGUCAAGGGUGAAAUCCCCGCGCUCAACGUGGGAACUGCCUUUGAAACUGGCAAACUGGAGUGUGUGAGAGGAUAGUGGAAUUCGAGGUGUAGGAGUGAAAUCCGUAGAUAUCUGGAGGAACAUCAGUGGCGAAGGCGACUAUCUGGCACAUAACUGACGCUGAGGAGCGAAAGCGUGGGUAGCAAACAGGAUUAGAUACCCUGGUAGUC
rnacentral:rRNA from 1 species